rnacentral:rRNA from 1 species
AUUGAACGCUGGCGGCAGGCCUAACCCAUGCAAGUCGAGCGAGCGGCGGACGGGUGAGUAAUGUAUGGGGACUGCCCGAUAGAGGGGGAUAACUAAUGGAAACGGUGGCUAAUACCGCAUACUAUCGGAUAACCCAUAUGGGAUUAGCUAGUAGGGGGGGUAAAGGCUCACCUAGGCGACGAUCUCUAGCGGGGCAGAGAGGAUGAUCAGCCAACCUGGGACUGAGACACUGCCCAGAAUCCUACGGAGGCAGCAGUGGUGAAUAUUGGAAAAGGGGAGCAAGCCUGAUGCAGCCAUGCCGCGUGUAGUAAGAAGGCCUUAGGGUUGUAAAGUACUUUCAGCGGGGAGGCGUUACCCGCAGAAGAAGCACCGGCUAACUCCGUGCCAGCAGCCGCGGUAAUUC